AUAGAAUUAAUUUAAUUAAAAAUAUUAUCUUGUCAUGAUAAAUUUAUCAGUUUAGAUAUUCUAUUCC
rnacentral:tRNA from 1 species